AUUGAACGCUGGCGGCAGGCCUAACACAUGCAAGUCGAACGGCAGCACAGUAAUAGCUCGCGGAUACAGGGGGGGACGGGCGAACAAUGCCUGGAAAUCUCGCUGGCUACGUGGGCGAACGGGCGGACACAGGGGAACAUACGCCAAACGUGCAGAGGACGUACGGGGGGAAGCAUCGGAUCUUCCGCUCUCGGACGAGCCUAGGUCGGAUUAGCUAGUUGGCGGGGUAAAGGCCUACCAAGGCGACGAUCCGUAGCUGGUCUGAGAGGAUGAUCGGUCACACUGGAACUGAGACACGGUCCAGACUCCUACGGGAGGCAGCAGUGGGGAAUAUUGGACAAUGGGCGCAAGCCUGAUCCAGCCAUGCCGCGUGUGUGAAGAAGGUCUUCGGGUUGUAAAGCCCUUUAGUUUGGAAGGAAGAGCAGUAGGUUAAUACCUCGCUGUUUUGACGGUACCAACAGAAUAAGCACCGGCUAACUUCGUG
rnacentral:rRNA from 1 species